AAAUGUGACCUUGUAUAUGAUCUGGAAGGAGAGAAAUAUUUGAUAUAAGAUUUUAAAAUUAUUAUUGGUCUGUUCAACCACUCCUUAACCAAAUCAAAAUGUUUGUUUGCAUUA
rnacentral:pre_miRNA from 1 species